AUGUGUGGCAAAAUCCAGUACGAUGAGAGGAAAAGCAUGUGUGCGAAAAGGGGAAAAAAGUUUUACCCCACACGUACUCUUUCAGAGGAUGAUCUCUUUAUCAUAAAGGAAGUAUUAGUAAACCAUCAAAAGGCCUAUAUUGAAAAAAUCGAGGCAGAGGAGAAGGCUUUUGCAGAUCAUUGGAAUCCAAUUUUAUAUGAUUUUCUUUCGGAUGAUGAACCUUCCAUGGAACCCCGACGUAAGCGAAAGAAAAUGGAUAAUGUUGAAUGUCCUUCCCCCGAUCCUUCACUUCACGAGCUCGGGGAAGAUGAUGCCCUCGUCUCUACAUGCGAAGAUGUGAGGCCUCUCACUAAAAAGAAGGUGGAUACCCUAAACGAAGAGAGUGAUUCCAGUCCCAUUAGAUUGGAUGGACCUAUCCACGUAUCUGACCUUGGUAGUGUGGAUCUCGAUGGCAUACUUAGUGGAGAGGUUGAUCAUGGUCUAGGUGAUCUAGCUAAUUUAAAUGUGGAUGAUUAUGGUAUAUCAAGCUCAGGUCUUGAUCCCCCCCCCCCCUUGUUUCACAAAGUUUGGACUCAAACUUGUCUCCGGGCGCUGAUGUUUUAA
rnacentral:rRNA from 1 species